rnacentral:lncRNA from 1 species
AUGGUGGAGCUCAGUGUUCAGGCAGGAGUCAGCUGUGUUCAUACAGCCUUCAUUGCUGUGAAUAAAGACAGCAGACAGACUGUGAAAGGACCCCUGCUGCAGAGAAGAGUGCCAACAUACGAUUCCUCUUCAGAAAUUGACAUGAUGCAAGUAAAUUAUGAUCACAUAGCACCCCGCGAGUUUCGUUUAUCAUCAUCAAGGCAUUGCGUUGCAGUGACUGCACCCGAACAGAAGAUCGGAUUCAUGACAAGUAACGCAAUGAAUACACAGCGUCACUAA